AGGGAAGGAGCCAGCACCACUGACUGGCCUGGGCACACGACACCUCCAGCAAAGAGCUCUAAGGAUGUCCCAUCAAGUCUGUCCUGAAACAGAGACAAGAUUCUCCCCCCAAGACACCCAUUCCCCAAUGGAAAGUGCUCCUGCCUCCACUCAGGAGCAGGGUGGGAUACGCUGAAGGCAAUACCUGGGGGCUGUGCUUAGGGAAUCUCACUUUGCUCUUGUGCAAAUCCUGGUGGAAGGAAGGCUUCUGGGAGCAGAGGAGGCAGGAGGGUAGGAAAGGAGAGCGCAGCAAAGCCACGAGCAGAGCAGCACUUUCUUCAUUAAAGAAAACUGAACCAUAUUUAAAUAAGCAGCAGAUUACCUUGUUUCCACCAACAUUUUUCCUGCUUUUCCAUAGGCAUGAAAUGCUGGCGUAAGAGGGAACAAAAACAGAGUUGCAGUUAGUCAAAGGAAGAUCCAGUUUGCUAUCAAACAAUACCCGCGAGCGGGCAGCACGGCGCCGGUGUGGGGCUGCUUCUCUUGCCUGCCCUCCCACUCGCUGGUUCAGACCGAGAACUGAAACCCACAGAAGACAGGAACAAAGAUGAGGCAAAGAUAGAAAGCAGGUUCUUUUGGGAUGUAAAAAAAGAGGUGGUGUGAAGUCGCAGUCACACAUGGCAACCAUUGAAGGCAGAGAAAACGCGCCUGGGUAAGAGGCUGUGUGCUGAGACGUUUCUGCAGUGCAAAAUCUCACUCAAACUCCCAUCUUUAUUUUUAUCUUCCCACUAAAACUGGACCUCCUGACGCUGCUGGAUGGGAGCUCUGAGCUGCUGCCCGGAACGUUCAAUCCCAUACGCAGAAUACCCAGUGCUCACAGCCCACACCAAAGCGCUGCUGCCAAGAGACCUUUUUUUUCCCUCCCCUCCCAUGCUUGGGUUGUAGCACAAAAUGAUCACCAGGCUUUAAAUCAUUGUGUUUCUUCUGAAAAAGAAAAUGCCAAGAAAACUCCGCUGGUAUUUUUAGACCUAAAUGGGGUAGAAUGGGAAUUGAAACCUCCAGCACACACAGACCACAUUGCCCCAUCCUCUCAGCCUUGAACUGCAGAGGUCCAGCACGAAAACCACCACCCUGGAUUCCCUUUUGAGCUCUCUCAAGGUACAGAACACAUUCCUGCAGCCACCAGAAAACCAGCUUCAUUCCCUUCUGGAAGCAUCUCCUGCUAUUUUAGGUAUUAACUUACAAACUCUUGAUUUCUUUGGACUCUGCUCGAGCUAAACAUUAAAGAAACAAGAUGUUCUCCCGCAGAAUGAGCAAGAAGCAUGGCAGGAGACCCACAGCAGGGAAACAACCCAGAGCUGUGAUGUGGGGCAGCACCGAAAAUAGCUGAUGGCUGGGUGACAGGCUGGGGAGCAGCCACCACCAGGCACGCUGCCUGGCUCCCCCUCAACUGCUGCAGGAAAAGGCAACAGCCCUCAGGGCUUCGGUCACACAGCCAAAGGGGCAGGGAGGAACCAGCAGGAGGAGAACAUCCCUCCUGGAGAGCGGGUCGUCAAUGAGACACCUCAUGUGCCUCCAGGUAACAGGCACAGCCUCCUCGGCUGCUCCGGAGGGACGUUCCGAUGAGAACAAGCCUCCAAACGUUGUACCACGUGUGCCCAUCUGGUGAUGCCGGAAAAAUCAGAUCCUUUAUCCUCUCAGGAAGGAAGUGGUGAGUGUAAAUAAAUGGAGCAUCUUCGCAAUGAGACCUCUGCAUGCCCAACGAGCUGGGCAGAGCUGGCUGCUCAGGAGUUAGAGAAGCUCUUCUAAACCAAGUGUGGUUACUAGAAUGGGGAACCUGUGGCCCAGCCCUUGUCCCUGCAGGGAGCAGAGCUGCCUCCGGGGUGCUGUGGGGGUCAGCACCCAGCACAGGCAUCCUGCAAGGCCCAGGCUGCUUUCAGCAGCUUCGGGGCAGGCACUACCUCAUCUCCUGGCUAAAAGCUGCCUGGGAAGCACAUCCCGCUUCCC
ensembl:lncRNA